rnacentral:rRNA from 1 species
GUGAGGAAUAUUGGACAAUGGCCGGAAGGCUGAUCCAGCCAUGCCGCGUGCGGGAUGACGGCCCUAUGGGUUGUAAACCGCUUUUGCGAGGGAGCAAUAAGAGCCACGUGUGACUCGAUGAGAGUACCUCGCGAAUAAGCAUCGGCUAACUCCGUGCCAGCAGCCGCGGUAAUACGGAGGAUGCAAGCGUUAUCCGGAUUUAUUGGGUUUAAAGGGUGCGCAGGCGGCUUGUUAAGCGGGAGGUGAAAUGCCGGCGCUCAACGUCGGAAGUGCCUCCCGAACUGGUGAGCUUGAAUGACUCUGCCGUGGGAGGAAUGUGUAGUGUAGCGGUGAAAUGCUUAGAGAUUACACAGAACACCGAUUGCGAAGGCAUCUCACGAAGGGUUGAUUGACGCUGAGGCACGAAAGCGUGGGGAUCAAACAGGAUUAGAUACCCUAGUAGUCC